UACGUAGGGUGCAAGCGUUAAUCGGAAUUACUGGGCGUAAAGCGUGCGCAGGCGGCUUUGCAAGACAGAUGUGAAAUCCCCGGGCUUAACCUGGGAACUGCAUUUGAAACUAUGGAGCUAGAGUGUGUCAGAGGGGGGUAGAAUUCCACGUGUAGCAGUGAAAUGCGUAGAGAUGUGGAGGAAUACCGAUGGCGAAGGCAGCCCCCUGGGAUAACACUGACGCUCAUGCACGAAAGCGUGGGGAGCAAACAGG
rnacentral:rRNA from 1 species